rnacentral:tRNA from 1 species
GGCAGUGUGGUGUAGUGGUUUGAGUGUUGAACUAUGACUCUGAAGACCAGGGUUCAAAUCCCCACUUGGCCA